rnacentral:rRNA from 1 species
AAAUUUGACUGUACCCUCAGAGAAAGCCCCGGCUAACUACGUGGCCAGCAGCCGCGGUAAUACGUAGGGGGCAAGCGUUGUCCGGAUUCACUGGGUGUAAAGGGCGCGCAGGCGGGUUAAUAAGUCAGAGGUGAAAUCCUACAGCUCAACUGUAGAACUGCCUUUGAUACUGUUAAUCUUGAGUUCGGAAGAGAGAGACGGAAUUCCAGGUGUAGUGGUGAAAUACGUAGAUAUCUGGAAGAACACCAGUAGCGAAGGCGGUCUCUUGGUCCGAUACUGACGCUCAGGCGCGAAAGCGUGGGUAGCAAACAGGAUUAGAUACCCUGGUAGUCCACGCUGUAAACUAUGAAUACUAGGUGUUGGUCCCAUUGGGGUCAGUGCCGCAGCUAACGCAUUAAGUAUUCCACCUGGGGAGUACGAUCGCAAGGUUGAAACUCAAAGGAAUUGACGGGGGCCCGCACAAGCAGUGGAGCAUGUGGUUUAAUUCGAUGCAACGCGAAGAACCUUACCUAGGCUUGAAACGCAAGUGACGGGGUAUGAAAGUACCCCUCCAGCAAUGGCAUUUGUACAGGUGCUGCAUGGCUGUCGUCAGCUCGUGCCGUGAGGUGUUGGGUUAAGUCCCGCAACGAGCGCAACCCUUACUAUUAGUUGCCAUCAGGUAAUGCUGAGCACUCUAAUAGGACUGCCUACGCAAGUAGUGAGGAAGGUGGGGAUGACGUCAAGUCCGCAUGGCCCUUACGCCUAGGGCUACACACGUGCUACAAUGGAUGUUACAAUGGGUAGCGAAACCGCAAGGUGGAGCCAAUCCACUAAAGGCAUCCCCAGUUCGGAUUGGAGUCUGCAACUCGACUCCAUGAAGUUGGAAUUGCUAGUAAUCGCGGAUCAGCACGCCGCGGUGAAUACGUUCCCGGGCCUUGUACACACCGCCCGUCAAGCCAUGGAAGCCGGGAGUACCCAAAGCCAGUAUCCUAACCGCAAGGGGGGAACUGUUUAAGGUAAAACCGGUGACUGGGGCUAAGUCGUAACAAGGUAGCCGAAUCUCUGAAGAUCCGCGCGACCAUCGC